AAAUGGCAGAGAAUUGAAUUUGCCCGGGAUGGAGCCUGAUUCUGAGCCCCGGGAACCAAAGGAAGGGAACAAGCAUUUCCCGGGGGCCAGCGCGGGCCAGGCUGAUCAGGGCACAAAGAGCAUCUCAUUCGGGCCUCCCGACAGUUCUGGGCCGGAGGGCUACCGUGACCUUCUUUUUACAGAUGAGGAAACUGAGGCAGACGGUGGGCAAGUGACUUCUCCAUUCAAAUACAUUCGGCAAACAUUGUAGCUGGCUUCUAAAGUACAGAUUCUCACAGUGAAAAUUUAACAACCGGCUCUUGGCAGCCAGCGUGAGCUGCUCCAACAGAUCUCUGUCCAUGCUUAUGCAGUGCCUACAUGAGCCUUGAACCAAAAGAUUUCACUUCAGAGAAAGACGCAACAAACUUUAAGAACAGAGAUACCGCAAGAACCCUCAUGUCGACAGUCUCCCUGUUCUCUGAGACACAACAAUAUUGAAAUUGGGCUGAUGAAUAACCUGCCCGUGGCCUUUAAGUGUUUAAGUGAAAGGAAGAGUCGAUCAAUAUGGCAACUUUGUUGUCUUGCUUUAAGAAAUUGACCAGUGGCCUCAACCUUCAGCAACCACAAUCCCGAUCAAUCGGCACCAUCGAUGUGGAGGCAAGACCCUCCACCAGCAAAAAGAGGAUGACUCCCUGAAGUAUCUAGAACUGAACCACAGCAUUUCUGAGAUGUGCCCGAACAGAAUCUGCAGGGAAAAGACAUGGAUUCUAAUCCUGACUCGGUCCUUGUUAGCUGUGUGUCUUUGGUUGAGCGACAGUACAGUGAAGUUACCCACAGUCCUCCCUAGCUCGUGGCAGAGACCAAAGAAUUCUGGAGAAAACCGCAGGAAGACAGGGCCAGCUUCUUUAGGGGCGCCACUCGGCCAUCGCCAUACAGGUCAGAAAACCAAAAGGGCAAAGUCCACCUGGCCCUGCAGGGAGCACAAAUAGCAGCACCUCCAUUUUACAGAUGAGGGAAGGAAGACAGAGAGGGCCCGUGACUAGUCAAAAGCCAAGGGAGAAACGAGCUGUGAGGUCUUGGGACCCUUAACCAGAGCUGCUGCUCGGCCCCCCCCCAGGCUCCAAAGGCCCCAUUUCUCUGAUAUGGGACAGAGAUGUCCCACCCACUUCAUG